AAUGUUAAUGCUUCUUUAUUUUCUCUCUUCAUCUUCAUGCUGAUGUUUCUUUUCCUACUCUGCAGCUUUGGCUUUUCUGUUCCUACUAUAUUUGUACUUAAAGAUAUUUUAUCCUCAUAGUUGUUUCAGCCACAAGGUAUUUCAUUUUCUGUCUCUAACCUCCUCAGAUCAGUCUGCAUUUUAAGGACAUCUUUAGAUGGAUUGAUUUACUUUGCAGCAUGCUGUCCACUCAUAGCACACAUGGAUUCUUCCAGCAUCAGAGGAAUGAAUAUUUCCUGCACCCAUAAUAGUCAUCAACAUUUAUACUCAGUCAUGCAGGCGGGCUGGAUUCCUUUCAGCAGGCAUUUUAGAUAAGCUCUGUGACAGUGACAUUUUCCAUACUCAAGACUUCAUUUUUACCUGUGUCAUAACUGCUGUGUCUAAAAAGUGAAAUGUUUAUAUUUGCAUUACUGUUGAAAAGAUAUAUGCACUUCCUGACAAAAAAAAAAUUAUUUGCAGGUUGUACAAGUUCUGCUCACAAUAUAUCCACACAGCUGAAAAGGAAAUUAUAUAUAACAAACAAGCAUAUAUUCCCACACUCUGCCACCAAAUUAUUUGUAAUAGUCAGAUGGCGGUAGUCUCAUGACCAGCACUAUUGCCACUGUUUUUUAUGAGACAGUACAGACUUUAAAUCUACAUUGUAGGUAUAGUGUGGUAAAGGAUGUAGAUGCCCUAGGUGCAGAGAAUUUAGAAGGAUGGAUCAUCCGGUAUCAACAGAGCAGAAGUGAAGUACUGAUCUUUAUAAAUAAAUACUAAUACUGCAUUUGGGCUCAUGGCUGAAGCACUCAAGCAUAUAACUGCAGAAAGUCGCUCGUUGCUUUUGCUACGGUUACAGAGCUGAAAAGUCUUUCAUCUCGCAGUGUUGAUCAACAAGACCUUUUUGUUUUAAACCCCUCAGCAUGUUUCUCAUCUUCCUUGGUAUUGACUGCAAAGACUUUUCUUUUUGGUCUUCAACUUUGAGAGUUGUCAGAGACAGUGCCAGUUCUGAGAACAGUACAGGAUUCCAGUUAACCGAGAUAUGGUUCUAAUGCCAAAGAAUAUGAAAGGGGCGAUUGUCUUUAAAAUCAUUCAUCAAAUGCACAUUGAGAUGGAAUCAACGUAGUCCAGCGAAGUAAAUCAAUGACACGUACAGCUCGCUCGAGGAUCAUACUGAUACUUUGAAGGGAUGGAAAACAUAAUGACAACAUGUUAAAAUCAUUAAGGCUGUCAGGAACAUAUAAUUUCCCCUCAGUUCCCAUGAGACUUUUAUUAAGAGGACUCAUCAGUGAAAAUAAUCAGUAACUUAAUGAGAGGGAGAGGAGAACUGUUUCUGUGAGGAACGAAUCACAAGCAUGGAUUGAACUGAAAACGUAGACUACAAUAGCGUUUUGUAAUCUCAUUCCAUAUACAUCUGGCACUCAUCAGCAGUGGCAUGUCAAACAACAGGCAUGGUAAGGAAAACCUUCACAACAAAAAUAAGGAGGAGAUUUAAAAACACAAAUGGCUUCCUUACUAUCAAUCAUGCUUCAUUAAAAAAUAAAUCCUUAUUUUUGCGGGGCAAAUCAUGAUUGUGCGUUUCAUUCAACCAGAUGAAAAAAACACCAAGAAGUCUAAUAAAUGCAGUAAAUGUUCAAGAACAUAUUAUGCCUAUACAAAUACCAUCUGAAAAUGUAGAAGUAAAAAAAAAAAAUAAAACCAAAAGUGCUUUGAAUUA